GUGUCGUCGAUGGCAAAAGAUUUCUUAAGGAAGAUGAUAUGUAAAGACGCUUCUAGAAGAUUCUCAGCAGAACAAGCUCUGAGGCACCCAUGGAUUCAAAGGGCAGGGGAAGCAGAGGAGGAGAGAUUCAUCUAAUGAAAGAUUCUCUCUUGUGUGUCUGUGGGGAGAAUCAAAAUAAAUAAAUAAGAGUAGCAGAAUGGGAGUGAUAGCUUAUCAUCUUUCUUUUAUCUAACAAGUACGAGAAGUGUCUUUGUGUGUCUGUGUGAGUUGUCUUCGGCAUAUGUAAAUUUUGGCUUUUGGGGCCAUUGUAGAUUCCGCCUACCUACCCUAAGAAGACUCUGGAAAACGCAUAAAAAAAAAAAGGAGCUGAAUAAGUUGAUGCCAAAGCUUGUGUGUGUGGCUUCUUCUGUUUGAGUUUGGCAAUGAGUUUUUUUUUCUUCCU